AUGGCUGUCUGCCUGCCUGGGUGGGCUCUGUGCGCGCUGAGGUCCUGGGCUCCAAAGGACGUCGUAUGGCUCAGUUUACCUGGGUGCCACGUGCCACCUGGGAUGUUGUCUGGCCAGGGGUUGCUCUCCCAAAGCGGCACUUACCGCAGACACCGCAGUGACAGACAGAGACGCUUCCGCCUGGCAGCCCCGAGAGAACUCGCUGAGAGCCUUCCCGGUGGAACGCAUCAAGGCGGCUUCAUUCCUCGAACCUGGUGUCGGGGAGGCCUGCCCGCCCUCGCGCCGAACUGCAAAGGGCGGCUCGUCUCCCCAGGCCAGAAGGACCUUGCCCUCGCCCCAGGGGCCCAGAGCACAAAGCCGGUCCUCGGGGUGCUUGCCGUGCGGGGCGGGGGGGGGGGUUCCGCCCAGCACCCCCUCCGCCCCACCUCCGAGCCUGCUCCUGCCGCCUGGGCAGAGCGCACCUGGGGCGGCGAGGUCCUCUGGCGCCGCCUUGUGGACAUCUGCUCGAACAGCAAGUCCCAGGGGUUCCUCCUCGCUCUGGCUCAGCAGGCCCCCGGGGCUGCCUGGGGCCUGGGCCCUGGGCCCUGGGCCCGGGGCUGGGUGGGUUCUCUCCCUCCCCUUGAGGGAACUCCCAAGAAGAACCUGUCCAAGGGGGCUCCUUCUCGCUCAGAGGCUCUCAGAGCCCUCAGGCCCACCUGCCCCAAGCCCCUCCGUUCCACCCACACCCCCCCCCCCCCCCCCCCCCCCCGUCAGCUCCGGACCCAUCCUGUCAGGACAGGGUGGCCCUUGCUCAGACGGGCCUGCCCUGGGCUAUGGAGGGCCCCGCGCGCGUGUGUGUAUAUAUGGAGCUCUUGCUCUUGCCUUGCGUUUCCAAGUGGUAUUCCUUCGGUCGUCCAAUAAUAAACUCGUGAUUCUUUCCCUUCUGGUUUCGUUCUGGCUUCCUUGCUUCCUUCCUUCCUGUCCCCGUCCCCUCCCCUGUCCCUGUCCCUGUCUCUCCUUCCUCGUUCUCUCUUGCUUUAUGGACCCCACCUGAGGCGAGCGUCGGUCGCCCGCCCUCGAGGGUCGGCCAGCCACAGAGGGUGCCAAGCUGGCCCCAGCGACCCAGACAGACCUUUUCCCCAGGGAGCCUGGAGGGACCUCCGGGAGGUCUUUCCUGCUCUCGUGCUACCGGCCUGCGAUGGCCCGAGCUGGCUCGAGAGCAGCUCUUCAUACCAGGUGUUUGGCCAGAACCAAAGCGGCUCACAGGGAAAGCCAAAGGCGGAGGUUCAGGAGACCUCCUGGGAGAAGGCACACCGGGAGGGGCGUGGCGGCUCACCCCGCUGUCACCUCUGUCCCGCCUUCCCUGCACGACGCGCAGUCACCCGACCCGGGCCCCAAAGCCCAGGUCGGGAUGUGGCCUCUAUAUUCCAGUUGUAGCACUUGUUUCAUUUUACACCAUCACCCAUCAGGAUGGAAAUGGCAAUGACAAUGACAUUGAAGUACCACCUCACAUCUGUCCACAUGCCCACCCUUCAUAAUUCUGCAUAGUCCCAUUUUGGGAGCUUGUAUUGGAGAUCGUGUCCUUUGUAGAGAGAAUGGUUAUGGACAUUGGUACAAACACUAUCGACAACAGGUUCUCGUAAUUCACAAAUAUAUAUAGAAUGCACCCAUGACCCAGGAAUCCCACUCUUGAGCC
rnacentral:lncRNA from 9 species